rnacentral:sRNA from 1 species
GGAAUCGCUGCCUUAUCCACCAGCGGGAUGCUUACCUCGCCCGCCCUCUCGGGUCAGGCGGGCCCAGGAGGAUGGGAGGGUGGCUGCUGAGCGGGAGCCGCCACGUCUUCCACCCGACAUAUUGCCUAGAGUUUGCUGUGACUUAGAUCUUGAUUCAGAGAUGGAGAAAUCAGGCUCAUCUUCUACCAUCUCUGAGCAGCAGCUGCAGAGGCAAGAGGGAUGGAGUAACACCAAAACAGACUUGGCUGAGCAGAGUCUCAUUUCAUCUGAGAAAUGGCUUCAACUGCAUGGGCUUAAGAGCAACAAACUGACCUUGAAACAGAUUUUGUCACAGAUCGGAUUCCCACAUUGUGAAGAUUAUGUGGCGUCUCUGGGGAGACCUGUGGCUUCUCGGUAUGCUGAUGGUCUGUUUCCACAGCUCUGCAGAACAGAAGAUGGCAGAGUAUACAAUGGUUUCUCAAGAGCCUGUGAAGUGGCAGGAAAAUGCUACUCCUGUGACCAAACAGUCCAUAGCUACUGCCGUCAGUUGGGUUGAGAAACUGAUGGUUGAGCUGACUGUGAGCGA